CGGCGAGGCCCAGCUCCGCCCCGGGGGAAAUCAUUCACUGAGGCGCAGACGACCGGAAGCGGCGCACCGCGGUGUCGUCAGAGCCCGCGUCAGCUCUGCGCCCCUAAAGUCCUGGCAACUCUAAGGCUCCUACCACUUGGCUUAAGAAAUAAAACAUGAGUUGGCUGUGUUGGUGGACGCCUUUAAUCCCAGCAUGUGGGAGGCAGGGGCAAGCCCUGUGAAUCUGAAGCCAGCCUGGUCUACAGAGUGAGCUCCAGGACAGCCAAGGCUACAGAGACCCUGUUUCGAGAAACCAAAAAGAAAAAAAGAAAUAAAACAUGCAACUGAUCUCUUGCCUAGCAGCACAUGCUAGACCCUGAAUGUAUUUGAAAAACCUCAAAAGUUCUUGCAUACCUCAAACACAAAAUUUCAACUGAAGCAUCCUCAAAGCCCAACCAGGUGGUUCUCUCUUGUAAGAGCUGCACUUGGAAGGUGGAAACAAAGAUCCAGUUCAAGUGAGGAAAGCACCUAAAGGUACAGAAGGAGAGCUACCUGCACAGAUACUCACGCCACUUAAGGUCAGGGAAAGUGGAUUCCGCCCUUG